rnacentral:rRNA from 1 species
GCUGGCGGCACGCCUAACACAUGCAAGUCGAACGAAGUAGCAAUACUUAGUGGCAGACGGGUGAGUAACAUGUAGGUAUCUUCCCUUUGGCCUGGAAUAACACGAGGAAACUUGUGCUAAUACCGGAUAAGUCUUUACGGAGAAAGCUUUAUGCACCAUUGGAUGAGCCUGCACUUGAUUAGUUAGUUGGUAGGGUAAUGGCCUACCAAGACUUUGAUCAAUAGCUGAUUUGAGAGGAUGAUCAGCCACAUUGGGACUGAGACACGGCCCAAACUCCUACGGGAGGCAGCAGUGGGGAAUCUUGCACAAUGGAGGAAACUCUGAUGCAGCGAUGCCGCGUGAGUGAAGAAGGCCUUUGGGUUGUAAAGCUCUUUCGUCGGGGAAGAAAAUGACUGUACCCGAAUAAGAAGGUCCGGCUAACUUCGUGCCAGCAGCCGCGGUAAUACGAAGGGACCUAGCGUAGUUCGGAAUUACUGGGCUUAAAGAGUUCGUAGGUGGUUGAAAAAGUUGGUGGUGAAAUCCCAGAGCUUAACUCUGGAACUGCCAUCAAAACUUUUCAGCUAGAGUUUGAUAGAGGAAAGCAGAAUUUCUAGUGUAGAGGUGAAAUUCGUAGAUAUUAGAAAGAAUACCAAUUGCGAAGGCAGCUUUCUGGAUCAUUACUGACACUGAGGAACGAAAGCAUGGGUAGCGAAGAGGAUUAGAUACCCUCGUAGUCCAUGCCGUAAACGAUGUGUGUUAGACGUUGGAAAUUUAUUUUCAGUGUCGCAGCGAAAGCGAUAAACACACCGCCUGGGGAGUACGACCGCAGUAACUCAAUGAUAG